ACCUUACCUGGUCUUGACAUCCAGAGAAUCCUGCAGAGAUGCGGGAGUGCCUUCGGGAACUCUGAGACAGGUGCUGCAUGGCUGUCGUCAGCUCGUGUUGUGAAAUGUUGGGUUAAGUCCCGCAACGAGCGCAACCCUUAUCCUUUGUUGCCAGCGCGUAAUGGCGGGAACUCAAAGGAGACUGCCGGUGAUAAACCGGAGGAAGGUGGGGAUGACGUCAAGUCAUCAUGGCCCUUACGACCAGGGCUACACACGUGCUACAAUGGCAUAUACAAAGAGAAGCGACCUCGCGAGAGCAAGCGGACCUCAUAAAGUUUGUCGUAGUCCGGAUUGGAGUCUGCAACUCGACUCCAUGAAGUCGGAAUCGCUAGUAAUCG
rnacentral:rRNA from 1 species